AGAUUGUUUUUUUUUCCAUUCCAUUUUCAGCUCCUUAAUACCAUCAGUCCAGCAGAACUGGGUCACUUCCUCAGUCAAUCCAAUGUGAUUGAUGACCAGUUGAGUUUAUGUGAUGUCUUUAACAACUACAACAACUCUCCUGCUUUCCUGGAAACUGAGAAUGUUCCAGAUGAUGUUAAGACAAAGAUUCUCCCCUGUUUUUGGCAUACAGCCUUGGAAAUUAACCAAAAACUUGAAGUUGACUUGUGGUUGGAAGUACGGCUAAAGAACUAUCUGAAAUUCCUCACUAAGAAUCUCAUUAGUUUUACCGAAGUGAAGAACGCCUCGUGCUAUGGCUUCCAAAAAUUGGUGUAUUACUUGGGAAACAUUUUCAUAUAUAGCAGCUCUGAUUUUGGACGAGUGGAUGUUUACGCGACCAUCAGAAGUUACCUCAAAGCCACCUCUGGGACCAGAUGUUACAAUGCCAGUGACCCAAAUUUAAAUUCUACUGCCUGGUUUGCCAAUUACAUUGGCAAUUUUGUCCCACUCAUAACUCUGGAAGACUUUAAAUCAUUCGUCUCCACCUCUCAGAUGAAAAUGUUUUUGGGGGACAGCACCAAUUUGAAGCUUUUUAGCAGCACACCAGUUUCACAAACUGUUACCAGCUACUACAUCACAAAGCUGUUUGAGUUAGACCCAACCUUCAACCUACUAAAACUUCCAGACUUUUUCUUCUGCUCGUCCAACAUCCCACUUUCGGCAUACACUUCAUUGAGUCAAAAUGAGGCCUUGGCCAUCUUGGACAGAUAUCAGAAAGUCUGUAGUGGGACAGUUGACACUCAGGUUACAGUUGCUCUGGCAUCAAACAUCCAAACGGUGACUCAGCAGACGCUGGUGAAUCUUGGCAACGCCUCUUCAGGAUUGUCCAUCAAUCAGAUCACCUCGAUGUCAUCUUCAGUGCUGAUUUCCUCUUUGUCCACCCUGGGCAGUGUGACCACCUGGAGCCAAACCCAGGUCACCACCAUGAUUCAAAUCUUAACCACCUCAGAUUUCAAGGUAAAUACAACAAACUGCAUAAUUUUCUGGACAACUAUGUGA
rnacentral:lncRNA from 1 species